CCUACGGGAGGCUGCAGUAGGGAAUAUUGCUCAAUGGGGGAAACCCUGAAGCAGCAACGCCGCGUGGAGGAUGAAGGUUUUCGGAUUGUAAACUCCUUUUGUUAGAGAAGAUAAUGACGGUAUCUAACGAAUAAGCACCGGCUAACUCCGUGCCAGCAGCCGCGGUAAUACGGAGGGUGCAAGCGUUACUCGGAAUCACUGGGCGUAAAGAGCGCGUAGGCGGGAUAGCAAGUCAGAUGUGAAAUCCUAUGGCUUAACCAUAGAACUGCAUUUGAAACCGUUAUUCUAGAGUAUGGGAGAGGUAAGUGGAAUUCUUGGUGUAGGGGUAAAAUCCGUAGAGAUCAAGAGGAAUACUCAUUGCGAAGGCGACCUACUAGAACAUAACUGACGCUGAUGCGCGAAAGCGUGGGGAGCAAACAGGAUUAGAUACCCUAGUAGUC
rnacentral:rRNA from 1 species